rnacentral:rRNA from 1 species
GUUAGGAAUAUUGGACAAUGGGCGCAAGCCUGAUCCAGCCAUGCCGCGUGAGUGAUGACGGCCUUCGGGUUGUAAAGCUCUUUAGUCCACGAAUAUAAUGACUGUAGUGGAAGAAUAAGCCCCGGCUAACUUCGUGCCAGCAGCCGCGGUAAUACGAAGGGGGCGAGCGUUAUUCGGAAUCACUGGGCGUAAAGCGUGCGUAGGCUGUUUUGUAAGUCAGAAGUGAAAGCCCAGGGCUUAACCCUGGAAUUGCUUUUGAAACUACAAGACUCGAAUUCGGGAGAGGAUAGCGGAAUUGUCAGUGUAGCAGUGAAAUGCGUAGAUAUUGACAGGAACACCAGUGGCGCAAGCGGCUAUCUGGACCGAUAUUGACGCUGAGGCACGAAAGCGUGGGGAGCAAACAGGAUUAGAAACCCGUGUAGUCC